rnacentral:rRNA from 1 species
UACGUAGGGUGCGAGCGUUAAUCGGAAUUACUGGGCGUAAAGCGUGCGCAGGCGGUUCGUUAAGUCAGAUGUGAAAGCCCCGGGCUCAACCUGGGAACUGCAUUUGAAACUGGCGGGCUUGAGUGUGGCAGAGGGGGGUGGAAUUCCACGUGUAGCGGUGAAAUGCGUAGAGAUGUGGAGGAACACCAAUGGCGAAGGCAGCCUUCUGGGCCAACACUGACGCUCAUGCACGAAAGCGUGGGGAGCAAACAGG